CAGUCUUGUCAACUAAAAUUGUACUUGUCGGGCAAAAUGAACAAAUCUUCGAGUAGUGACAGCGCUGAUGAGUCUGUGCAAGUAUUGGGCGUCAUAGUACCCUGCUCCCAACGAAAAAGAAUUGAAAUCAGUUCAGACGAUUGGAAAAUAUUUAUAAUAAUAGUGAAUAUAAUUUUUCAUGUAAUUAUAUUGAUCGUGUUAAUAAUCGUCCAUACAAGAAUUAGACGUGCACUGGGCAUUUUCACAAGCAAGGACGUUUACGACAGCUACAACUAAAAUUAAUUUCGUGUACCAAAGAGCGAAUAAAAGCUUAUUUUAUUAA